rnacentral:rRNA from 1 species
AAAACGGAGAGUUUGAUCCUGGCUCAGGAUGAACGCUGGCGGUAUGCUUAACACAUGCAAGUCGAACGGGAUGCUUAGGCAUCUAGUGGCGGACGGGUGAGUAACGCGUGAGAAUCUGGCUCCAGGUCGGGGAUAACAGUUGGAAACGACUGCUAAUACCGGAUGUGCCGAGAGGUGAAAGAUUUAUCGCCUGGAGAUGAGCUCGCGUCUGAUUAGCUAGUUGGCGGUGUAAGGGACCACCAAGGCAUCGAUCAGUAGCUGGUCUGAGAGGAUGAUCAGCCACACUGGGACUGAGACACGGCCCAGACUCCUACGGGAGGCAGCAGUGGGGAAUUUUCCGCAA